rnacentral:rRNA from 1 species
CCUACGGGCGGCAGCAGUCGAGAAUCAUUCACAAUGGGGGAAACCCUGAUGGUGCGACGCCGCGUGGGGGAAUGAAGGUCUUCGGAUUGUAAACCCCUGUCAUGUGGGAGCAAAUUAAAAAGAUAGUACCACAAGAGGAAGAGACGGCUAACUCUGUGACAGCAGCCGCGGUAAUACAGAGGUCUCAAGCGUUGUUCGGAAGCACUGGGCGUAAAGGGUGCGUAGGCUGUUUCGUAAGUCGCGUGUGAAAGGCGCGGGCUCAACCCGCGGACGGCACAUGAUACUGCGAGACUAGAGUAACGGAGAGGGAAGCGGAAUUCUCGGUGUAGCAGUGAAAUGCGUAGAUAUCGAGAGGAACACUCGUGGCGAAGGCGGGUUCCUGGACAUUAACUGACGCUGAGGCACGAAGGCCAGGGGAGCGAAAGGGAUUAGAUACCCCAGUAGUC